GUUGGUGAACCAGCGGAGGGAUCAUUACCGAGUUUUUACAACUCCCAACCCUAUGUGAACCUUACCAAUCGUUGCUUCGGCGGAACGCCCCGCGGCCCCUCGGGGUCCGGACCCAGGCGCCCGCCGAGGAACCCAAACUCUUCUGUUUUUUAGUUGUAUCUUCUGAGUGGAUUUAAACAAAUGAAUCAAAACUUUCAACAACGGAUCUCUUGGUUCUG
rnacentral:misc_RNA from 1 species